rnacentral:lncRNA from 1 species
UGGAAGGCUCUAGGCGAAUAAAGAUGGAAUGACUUCUAAUUUUUAGGUCCGUAUGAUUUGAAAUACUUGCACACAAACCACGCAAAACCGUUCCUAGAAAUCUCGGUCGAAAAAAGGACGUUUAGUAAUUCUAAAAGGGACUACAGGAUGAAAAACAAUAGUUUUGGCAGUUAAAGUUUGAGAUUCGAUGGUGCCGUAGAUCCGUUUGGUCAUCAGGUGUUACGAGCCACACCCAUGUCUAGCUAGAGUAGUGUGCUAGGUUCAGACUAGAGAAGAAACGGGGAACAAAGUGAUUAAAGAAUGAUCAUACCGAGGGAAUUCACUCAGAACUAACAAGAAUGAUAACGUGCUCCGACUGGAGCGGUUUAGGAACUGCUGGAAGGCUCUAGGGGAAUAAAGAUGGAAUGACUUCUAAUUUUUACGUCCGUAUGAUUUGAAAUACAUGCACACAAACCACGCAAAAGCGUUCCUGGAAAUCUCAGCCUAAAAAAGGACGUUUAGUAAUUCUAAAAGGGACUACAGGAUGAAAAAUAAUAGUUUGGGCAGUUAAAAUUUGAGAUUCGACGCUGCCGUAGAUCCGUUUGGUCAUCAGGUCUUACGAGCCACACCCAUGUCUAGCUAGAAUAGUGUGUUAGGCUCAGGCUAGAGAAGAAACGGGGAACAAACUGAUGAAAGAAUGAUCAUACCGAGGGAAUUCACUCAGAACUAACAAGAAUGAUAACGUGCUCCGACUGGAGCAGUUUAGAAACUCCUGGAAGGCUCUAGGGGAAUAAAGAUGGAAUGACUUCAAAGUUUUAGGUCCGUAUGAUUUGAAAUACUUGCACACAAACCGCGUGAAAGCGUUCCUGGAAAUCUCAACCCAAAAAAGGGCGUUUAGUAAUUCUAAAAGGGACUACAGGAUGUAAAACAAUAGUUUUGGCAGUUAAAGUUUGAGAUUCGAUGGUGCCGUAGAUCCGUUUGGUCAUCAGGUGUAACGAGCCACACCCAUGUCUAGCUAGAGUAGUGUGCUAGGCUCAGACUAGAGAAGAAACGGGGAACAAAGUGAUGAAAGAAUGAUCAUACCGAGGGAAUUCACUCAUAACUAACAAGAAUGAUAACGUGCUCUGACUUGAGCGGUUUAGGAACUGCUGGAAGGCUAUAGGGGAAUAAAGAUGGAAUGACUUCAAAUUUUUAGGUCCGUAUGAUCUGAAAUACUUGCACACAAACCGCGAGAAAGCGUUCCUGGAAAUCUCAACCCAAAAAAGGACGUUUAGUAAUUCUAAAAGGGACUACAGGAUGAAAAACAAUAGUUCUGGCAGUUAUUGUUUGAGAUUCGAUAAUCUCGUAGAUCCGUUUGGUCAUCAGGUGUAACGAGCCACACCCAUGUCUAGCUAGAGUAGUGUGCUAGGCUCAGACUAGAGAAGAAACGGGGAACAAACUGAUGAAAGAAUGAUCAUACCGAGGGAAUUCACUUAGAACUAACAAGAAUGAUAACGUGCUCCGACUGGAGCGGUUUAGGAACUGCUGGAAGGCUCUAGGGGAAUAAAGAAGGAACGACUUCUAAUUUUUAGGUCCGUAUGAUUUGAAAUAUGUGCACACAAACCACGAGAAAGCGUUCCUAGAAAUCUCGGCCCAAAAGAGGACGUUUAGUAUUCUAAAAGGGACUACAGAAUGAAAAACAAUAGUUUUGGCAGUUAAAGUUUGAGAUUUGACGGUGCCGUAGAUCUGUUUGGUCAUCAGGGGUUACGAGCCACACCCAUGUCUAGCUAGAAUAGUGUGUUAGGCUCAGGCUAGAAAAGAAACGGGGAACAAAGUGAUGAAAGAAUGAUCAUACCGAGGGAAUUCACUCAGAACUAACAAGAAUGAUAACAUGCUCCGACUGGAGCGGUUUAGGAACUGCUGGAAGGCUCUAGGGGAAUAAAGAUGGAAUGACUUCUAAUUUUUAGGUCCGUAUGAUUUGAAAUACUUGCACACAAACCGCGCGAAAGCGUUCCUGGAAAUCUCAGCCCAAAAAAGGACGUUUAGUAAUUCUAAAAGGGACUACAGGAUGAAAAACAAUAGUUUUGGCAGUUAAAGUAUGAGAUUCAACGGUGCCGUAGAUCCGUUUGGUCAUUAGGUGUUACGAGCCACACCCAUGUCUAGCUAGAAUAGUGUGCUAGGCUCAGGCUAGAGAAGAAACGGGGAACAAACUGAUGAAAGAAUGAUCAAACCGAGGGAAUUCACUCAGAACUAACAAUAAUGAUAACGUGCUCCGACUGGAGCGGUUUAGGAACUGCUGGAAGUCUCUAGGGGAAUAAAGAUGGAAUGACUUCUAAUUUUUACGUUCGUAUGAUUUGAAAAACUUGCCCAUAAACCGCGCGAAAGUGUUCCUGGAAAUCUCAGCCCAAAAAAGGACGUUUAGUAAUUUUAAAAGGGACUACACGAUGAAAAACAAUAGUUUUGGCAGGUAAAGUUUGAGAUUCGACAGUGCCGUAGAUCCGUUUGGUCAUCAGGUGUUACGAGCCACACCCAUGUCUAGCUAGAAUAGUAUGUUACGCUCAGGUUAGAGAAGAAACGGGGAACAAACUGAUGAAAGAUGAUCAUACCAAGGGAAUUCACUCAGAACUAACAAGAAUGAUAACGUGCUCCGACUGGAGCGGUUUAGGAACUGCUGGAAGGCUCUAGGGGAAUAAAGAUGGAAUGACUUCUAAUUUUUACGUCUGUAUGAUUUGAAAUACUUGCACACAAACAACGCAAAAGCAUUCCUGGAAAUCUCAUCCUAAAAAAGGACGUUUAGUAAUUCUAAAAGGGACUACAGGAUGAAAAAUAAUAGUUUGGGAAGUUAAAAUUUGAGAUUCGAUAGUGCCGUAGAUCCGUUUGGUCAUCAGGUGUUAGGAGCCACACCCAUGUCUAGCUAGAAUAGUGUGUUAGGCUCAGGCUAGAGAAGAAACAGGGAACAAACUGAUGAAAGAAUGAUCAUACCGAGGGAAUUCACUCAGAACUAGCAAGAAUGAUAACGUGCUCCGACUGGAGCAGUUUUGAAACUGCUGGAAGGCUCUAGGGGAAUAAUGAUGGAAUGACUUCUAAGUUUUUGGUCCGUAUGAUUUGAAAUACGUGCACACAAACCCAGAGAAAGUGUUCUUGGAAAUCUCGGCCGAAAAAAGGAUGUUUAAUAAUUCUAAAAGGGACUACAGGAUGAAAAACAAUAGUUUUGGCAGUUAAAGUUUGUGAUUCGAUGGUGCUGUAGAUCUGUUUGGUCAUCAGGUGUUAUGAGCCACACCCAUGUCUAGCUAGAACAGUGUGUUAGGCUCAGGCUAGAGCAGAAACGGGGAACAAACUUAUGAAAGAAUGAUCAUACCGAGGGAAUUCACUCAGAACUAACAAGAAUGAUAACGUGCUCCGACUGGAGAGGUUUAGGAACUGCUGGAAGGCUCUAGGGGAAUAAAGAUGGAAUGACUUCAAAUUUUUAGGUCUGUAUGAUCUGAAAUACUUGCACACAAACCGCGAGAAAGCGUUCCUGGAAAUCUCAGCCCAAAAAAGGACGUUUAGUGAUUCUAAAAGGGACUACGGGAUAAAAAACAAUAGUUUUGGCAGUUAAAGUUUGAGAUUCGAUAAUGCCGUAGAUCCGUUUGGUCAUCAGGUGUAACGAGCCACACCCAUGUCUAGCUAGAGUAGUGUGCUAGGCUCAUACUAGAGAAGAAAUGGGGAACAAACUGAUGAAAGAAUGAUCAUACCGAGGGAGUUCACUCAAAACUAACAUGAAUGAUAACGUGCUCCGACUGGAGCGGUUUAGGAACUGCUGGAAGGCUCUAGGGGAAUAAAGAUGGAAUGACUUCUAAUUUUUAGGUCCGUAUGAUUUGAAAUACAUGCACACAAACCCCAAGAAAGCGUUCCUGGAAAUCUCGCCCCGAAAAACGACGUUUAGUAAUUCUAAAAGGGACUAUAGGAUGAAAAACAAUAGUUUUGGCAGUUAAAGUUUGAGAUUUGACGGUGCCGUAGAUCUGUUUGGUCAUCAGGUGUUACGAGCCACACCCAUUUCUAGCUAGAAUAGUGUGUUAGGCUCAGGCUAGAAAAGAAACGGGGAACAAAGUGAUGAAAGAAUGAUCAUACCGAGGGAAUUCACUCAGAACUAACAAGAAUGAUAACAUGGUCCGACUGGAGCGGUUUAGGAACUGCUGGAAGGCUCUAGGGGAAUAAAGAUGGAAUGACUUCUAACUUUUAGGUCCGUAUGAUUUGAAUUACUUGCACACAAACCGCGCGAAAGCGUUCCUGGAAAUCUCAGCCCAAAAAAGGACGUUUAGUAAUUCUAAAAGGGACUACAGGAUGAAAAACAAUAGUUUUGGCAGUUAAAGUUUGAGAUUCGACGGUGCCGUAGAUCCGUUUGGUCAGCAGGUGUUACGAGCCACACCCAUGUCUAGCUAGAGUAGUGUGCUAGGUUCAGACUAGAGAAGAAAUGUUGGGGAACGUAGCAGAAAUUCAAAAUUUUCCUACGUGUCACCAAGAUCUAUCUAUGGAGAGACUAGCAACGAGGGAAGGAGAGUGCAUCUACAUACCCUUGUAGAUCGCUAAGCGGAAGCGUUCAAGUGAACGGGGUUGAUGGAGUCGUACUCGUCGUGAUUCAGCUCACCGAUGAUCCUAGUGCCGAACGGACGGCACCUCCGCGUUCAACACACGUACAGCUCGACGAUGUCUCCCACGCCUUGAUCCAGCAAGGAGAGAGGGAGAGGUUGAGGAAGACUCCAUCCAGCAGAAGCACAACGGCGUGGUGGUGAUGGAGGAGCAUGGCAAUCCUGCAGGGCUUCGCCAAGCACCUAUGGGAGAGGAGGAGGUGUCACGGGAGGGAGGGAGGCGCCAAGGGCUCAGGUAUAGAUGCCCUCCCUCCCCUCCACUAUAUAUAGGGGCAAGGGAGAGGGGGGAGGCGCAGCCUUGCCCCUUCCUCCAAGGAAGGGGUGCGGCUAAGAGGGGGGGAGGAGUCCAUCCUCCCCAAGGCACCUCGGAGGUGCCUUCCCCCUUUAGGACUCUCCCCUUUUUCCUAUAUCUUGGCGCAUGGGCCUCUAGGGGCUGGUUCCCUUGGCCCAUGUAGGCCCAGGCGCACCCCCUACAGCCCAUGUGGCCCCCCGGGGCAGGUGGCCCCACCUGGUGGGCCCCCGGGACCCUUCCGGUGGUCCCGGUACAAUACCGAUGACCCCGAAACUUGUCCCGAUGGCCGAAACAGGACUUCCUAUAUAUAAAUCUUUACCUCCGGACAAUUCCGGAACUCCUCGUGACGUCCGGGAUCUCAUCCGGGACUCCGAACAACAUUCGGUAACCACAUACAAACUUCCUUUAUAACCCUAGCGUCAUCGAACCUUAAGUGUGUAGACCCUACGGGUUCGGGAGACAUGUAGUCAUGACCGAGAUGUUCUCCGGUCAAUAACCAACAGCGGGAUCUGGAUACCCAUGUUGGCUCCCACAUGUUCCACGAUGAUCUCAUCGGAUGAACCACGAUGUCAAGGACUCAAUCAAUCCCGUAUACAAUUCCCUUUGUCUAGCGGUAUGGUACUUGCCCGAGAUUCGAUCGUCGGUAUACCGAUACCUUGUUCAAUCUCGUUACCGGCAAGUCUCUUUACUCAUUUCGUAACACAUCAUCCCGUGAUCAACCCCUUGGUCACAUUGUGCACAUUAUGAUGAUGUCCUACCGAGUGGGCCCAGAGAUACCUCUCCGUUUACACGGAGUGACAAAAUCCCAAUCUCGAUUCGUGCCAACCCAACAGACACUUUCAGAGAUACCCGUAGUGUACCUUUACAGCCACCCAGUUACGUUGUGACGUUUGGCACACCCAAAGCACUCCUACAGUAUCCGGGAGUUGCACAAUCUCAUGGUCUAAGGAAAUGAUACUUGACAUUAGAAAAGCUUUAGCAUACGAACUACAUGAUCUUGUGCUAGGCUUAGGAUUGGGUCUUGUCCAUCACAUCAUUCUCCUAAUGAUGUGAUCCCGUUAUCAACGACAUCCAAUGUCCAUGGUCAGGAAACCGUAACCAUCUAUUGAUUAACGAGCUAGUCAACUAGAGGCUUACUAGGGACAUGGUGUUGUCUAUGUAUCCACACAUGUAUCUAAGUUUCCUAUCAAUACAAUUCUAGCAUGGAUAAUAAACGAUUAUCAUGAACAAGGAAAUAUAAUAAUAAUCAAUUUAUUAUUGCCUCUAGGGCAUAUUUCCAACAGUCUCCCACUUGCACUAGAGUCAAUAAUCUAGUUCACAUCGAUAUGUGAUUAACACUCAAGGUCACAUUCCCAUGUGACUAACACCCAAGAGUUUACUAGAGUCAAUAAUCUAGUUCACAUUUACCAUGUGAUUAACACUUGAUGAGUUCUGGGUUUGAUCAUGUUAUGCUUGUGAGAGAGGUUAUAGUCAACGGGUCUGAACCUUUCAGAUCCGUGUGUGCUUUACAAAUCUCUAUGUCAUCUCCUAGAUGCAGCUACCACGUUCUAUUUGGAGCUAUUCCAAAUAACUGUUCUACUUGGAGCUAUUCUAAAUUGUUGCUCCAUUAUACGUAUCCGGUAUCUCUACUCAGAGCUAUCCGGAUAGGUGUUAAGCUUGCAUCGACGUAACCCUUUACGACGAACUCUUUUACCACCUCCAUAAUUGAGAAAAUUCCUUAGUCCACUAGUUACUAAGGAUAACUUUGACCGCUGUCCUGUGAUCCAUUCUUGGAUCACUCUUGUACCCCUUGACUGACUCAUGGUAAAGCACACUUCAGGUGCGGUACACAGCAUAGCAUACUGUAGAGCCUAUGUCUUAAGCAUAGGGGACGACCUUCGUUCCUUUCUCUCUAUUCUGCCAUGGUCGAGCUUUAAGUCUUAACUUCAUACCUUACAACUCAGGCAAGAACUCCUUCUUUGACUGAUCCAUCUUGAACACCUUCAAGAUCACGUCAAGGCAUGUGCUCACGUCAAGAUCACGUCGGUAUACCGAUACCUUGUUCAAUCUCGUUACCGGCAAGUCUCUUUACUCGUUCCGUAACACAUCAUCCCGUGAUCAACCCCUUGGUCACAUUGUGCACAUUAUGAUGAUGUCCUACCGAGUGGGCCCAGAGAUACCUCUCCGUUUACACGGAGUGACAAAAUCCCAAUCUCGAUUCGUGCCAACCCAACAGACACUUUCAGAGAUACCCGUAGUGUACCUUUAUAGCCACCCAGUUACGUUGUGACGUUUGGCACACCCAAAGCACUCCUACGGUAUCCGGGAGUUGCACAAUCUCAUGGUCUAAGGAAAUGAUACUUGACAUUAGAAAAGCUUUAGCAUACGAACUACAUGAUCUUGUGCUAGGCUUAGGAUUGGGUCUUGUCCAUCACAUCAUUCUCCUAAUGAUGUGAUCCCGUUAUCAACGACAUCCAAUGUCCAUGGUCAGGAAACCGUAACCAUCUAUUGAUUAACGAGCCAGUCAACUAGAGGCUUACUAGGGACAUGGUGUUGUCUAUGUAUCCACACAUGUAUCUGAGUUUCCUAUCAAUACAAUUCUAGCAUGGAUAAUAAACGAUUAUCAUGAACAAGGAAAUAUAAUAAUAAUCAAUUUAUUAUUGCCUCUAGGGCAUAUUUCCAACAGUCUCCCACUUGCACUAGAGUCAAUAAUCUAGUUCACAUCACCAUGUGAUUAACACUGACAGGUCACAUCACCAUGUGACCAACAUCCAAAGAGUCUUGGGUUUGAUCAUGUUGCUUGUGAGAGAGGUUAUAGUCAACGGGUCUGAACCUUUCAGAUCCGUGUGUGCUUUACAAAUCUCUAUGUCAUCUCCUAGAUGCAGCUACCACGUUCUAUUUGGAGCUAUUCCAAAUAACUGUUCUACUUGGAGCUAUUCUAAAUUGUUGCUCCAUUAUACGUAUCCGGUAUCUCUACUCAGAGCUAUCCGGAUAGGUGUUAAGCUUGCAUCGACGUAACCCUUUACGACGAACUCUUUUACCACCUCCAUAAUUGAGAAAAUUCCUUAGUCCACUAGUUACUAAGGAUAACUUUGACCGCUGUCCUGCGAUCCAUUCUUGGAUCACCCUUGUACCCCUUGACUGACUCAUGGUAAAGCACACUUCAGGUGCGGUACACAGCAUAGCAUACUGUAGAGCCUAUGUCUUAAGCAUAGGGGAUGACCUUCGUUCCUUUCUCUCUAUUCUGCCAUGGUCGAGCUUUAAGUCUUAACUUCAUACCUUACAACUCAGGCAAGAACUCCUUCUUUGACUGGUCCAUCUUGAACACCUUCAAGAUCAUGUCAAGGUAUGUGCUCAUUUGAAAGUACUAUUAAGCGUUUUGAUCUAUCCUUAUAGAUCUUGAUGCUCAAUGUUCAAGUAGCUUAAUCCAGGUUUUCCAUUGAAAACACUUUCCAAAUAACCCUAUAUGCUUUCCAGAAAUUCUACGUCAUUUCUGAUCAUUAAUAUGUCAACAACAUAUAAUCAUCAGAAAUUCUAUAGUGCUCCCACUCACUUCUUUGGAAAUACAAGUUUCUCAUAAACUUUGUAUACACCCAAAAUCUUUGAUCAUCAUCAAAGCAUACAUUCCAACUCCGAGAUGCUCACUCCAGUCCUCAGAAGGAUUGCUGGAGCUUUGCAUACUUAUUAGCAUAUUUCAGGAUAGACAAAACCUUCCAGUUGUAUCACAUACAACCUUUCCUCAAGAAUCGUCGACGAAACAAUGUUUUGACAUCCUAUCUGCAAGAUUUCAUAAAUAAUGCAGUAAUUGUUAAUAUAAUUCCAACAGACUCUUAGCAUCGCUACGAGUGAGAAAGUCUCAUUGUAGUCAACUCCUUGAACUUGUCAAAAAACAUCUUAACGACAAGUCGAGCUUUCUCAAUGGUGACACUUACCAUCAUUGUCUGUCUUCCUUUCAAAAUCCAUAUGUACCUAACAGCCUUACGACCAUCAAGUAGUUCUUCCAAAGUCUACACUUUGUUUUCAUACAUGGAUCCUCUCUCGGGUUUUAUGGCCAUGAGCCAUUUAUCGGAAUCCGGGCCCACCAUUGCUUCUCCAUAGCUCGUAGGUUCAUUGUUGUCUAGCAACAUGACUUCCAAGACAGGAUUACUGUACCACUCUGAAGUAGUACGUAUCCUUGUCACCCUACGAGGUUUGGGAGUGACUUGAUCUGAAGUUUCAUGAUCACUAUCAUAAGCUUCUACUUCAAUUGGUGUAGGUGCCACAGGAACAACUUCCUGUGCCCUGCUACACACUGGUUGAAGUGAUGGUUCAAUAACCUCAUCAAGUCUCCACCAUCCUCCCACUCAAUUCUUUCGAGAGAAACCUUUCCUCGAGAAAGGACCCAAUUCUAGAAACAAUUCAUAUUGCUUUCGGAUCUGAAUUAGGAAGUAUACCCAACUGUUUUGGGUGUCCUAUGAAGAUGUACUUUAUCCGCUUUGGUUUCGAGCUUAAUCCUGAAACUUUUUCACAUAAGUGUCGCAGCCCCAAACCUUUAAGAAACGACAACUUAGGUUUCUCUAAACCAUAAUUCAUACGGUGUCAUCUCAUCGGAAUUACGUGGUGCCCUAUUUAAAGUGAAUGUGGUUGUCUUUAAUGCCUAACCCAUAAACUAUCGUGGCAGUUCGAUAAGAGACAUCAUGGUAUGCAUCAUAUCCAAUAGGGUGCAACUAUGAUGUUCGGACACACCAUCACACUAUGGUGUUCCAGGCGGUAUUAAUUGUGAAACAAUUUCCACAAUGUCUUAAUUGUGUGCCAAAACUCGUAACUCAGAUACUCAUCUCUAUGAUCAUAUCAUAGACAUUUUAUCCUCUUGUCACAAUGAUCUUCUACUUCACUCUGAAAUUACUUGAACCAUUCAACAAUUCAGACUUGUGUUUCAUCAAGUAAAUAUUCUCAACAUCUACUCGAAUCAUCUGUGAAGUAAGAACAUAACGAUAUUCACUGCAUGCCUCAGCACUCAUUGGACUGCACACAUCAAAAUGUGUUACUUCCAACAAGUUGCUAUCUUGUUCCAUCUUACUGAAAACGAGGCUUUUCAGUCAUCUUGCCCAUGUGGUAUGAUUUGCAUGUCCCAAGUGAUUCAAAAAUCAAGUGAGUCAAAACGGUCCAUUUGCAUGGAGUUUCUUCAUGCAUAUACACCAAUAGACAUGGUUCGCAUGUCUCAAACUUUUCAAAAACGAGUGAGCCCAAAGAUCCAUCAAUAUGGAGCUUCUUCAUGCGUUUUAUACCGAUAUGACUUACGUGGUAGUGCCACAAGUAGGUGGUACUAUCAUUACUAUCUUUUGGCAUGAACAUGUGUAUCACUACGAUCGAGAUUUAAUAAACCAUUCAUUUUAGGUGUAAGACCAUUGAAGGUAUUAUUCAAAUAAACAGAGUAACCAUUAUUCUCCUUAAAUGAAUAACCGUAUUGCGAUAGACGUAAUCCAAUCAUGUCUAUGCUCAACGCAAACACCAAAUAACAAUUAUUUAGGUUUAACACCAAUCUCUUUGGUAGAGGGAGCGUGCGAUGCUUGAUCAUAUCAAGCAUGGAAAAACUUACAACACAUAUCGUCAGCUCACCUUUAGCUAGUCUCUGUUUAUUCCGUAGCCUUUUGUUUCGAGUUACUAACACUUAGCAACCGAACUGGUAUCUAAUACCCUGGUGCUACUAGGAGUACUAGCAAAGUACACAUUAACACAAUGUAUAUCCAAUAUACUUCUAUCGACCUUGCCAGCCUUCUUAUCUACCAAGUAUCUAGGGUAAUUCUGCUCUAGUAGUUGUUCCCCUUAUUACAGAAGCACUUAGUCUCGGGUUUGGGUUUUACCUUGGGUUUCUUCACUAGAGCAGCAGCUGAUUUGCCGUUUCAUGAAGUAUCCCUUCUUGCCCUUGCCCUUCUUGAAACUAGUGGUUCCACCAACCAUCAACAAUUGAUGCUCCUUCUUGAUUUCUACUUUCGCGGUGUCAAACAUCGCGAAUACCUCAAGGAUCAUCAUAUCUAUCCCUGAUAUGUUAUAGUUCAUCAUGAAGCUCUAACAGCUUGGUGGCAAUGACUUUGGAGAACCAUCACUAUCUCAUCUGGAAGAUCAACUCCCACUCGAUUCAAGCGAUUGUUGUACUCAGACAAUCUGAGCACAAGCUCAACGAUUGAGCUUUUCUCCCUUAGUUUGCAGGUUAAGAAAGUCAUCGGAGGUCUUAUACCUCUUGACAUGGGCACGAGCCUGAAAUCCCAAUUUCAGCCCUCAAAACAUCUCAUAUGUUUCGCGAUGUUUCAAAAACGUCUUUGGUGCCUCAACUCUAAACCGUUUAACUGAACUAUCACGUAGUUAUCAAAACGUGUAUGUCAGAUGUUCGCAACAACCACAGACAACGUUCGAGGUUCAGCACACUGAGCGGUGCAUUAAGGACAUAAGCCUUCUAUGAAGCAAUGAGGACAAUCCUCAGUUUACGGACCUAGUCCGCAUAAUUGCUACUAUCAACUUUCAACUAAUUUUUCUCUAGGAACAUAUCUAAACAGUAGAACUAUAGCGUGAGCUACGACAUAAUUUGCAAAAACCUUUUGACUAUGUUCAGGAUAAUUAAGUUCAUCUUAUGAACUCCCACUCAGAUAGACAUCCCUCUAGUCAUCUAAGUGAUUACAUGAUCCGAGUCAAACUAGGCCGUGUCCGAUCAUCACGUGAGACGGACUAGUCAUCAUCGGUGAACAUCUUCAUGUUGAUCGUAUCUUCUAUACGACUCAUGUUCGACCUUUCGGUCUUCGUGUUCCGAGGCCAUGUAUGUACAUGCUAGGCUCGUCAAGUUAACCCUAAGUGUUUCGCGUGUGUAAAUCUGUCUUACACCCGUUGUAUGUGAACGUUAGAAUCUAACACCCGAUCAUCACGUGGUGCUUCGAAACACGAACUGUCGCAACGGUGCACAGUUAGGGGAGAACACUUCUUGAAAUUGUUGUAAGGGAUCAUCUUAUUUACUACCGUCGUUCUAAGCAAAUAAGAUGUAUAAACAUGAUAAACAUCACAUGCAAUCAAAUAGUGACAUGAUAUGGCCAUCAUCACUUUGCUCCUUUUGAUCUCCAUCUUCGGGGCUCCAUGAUCAUCAUCGUCACCGGCAUGACACCAUGAUCUCCAUCAUCAUGAUCUCCAUCAUCGUGUCUUCAUGAAGUUGCCUCGCCAACUAUUACUUCUACUACUAUGGCUAACGGUUAGCAAUAAAGUAAAGUAAUUACAUGACGUUUAAGUUGACACGCAGGUCACAAAUGAAUAAAGACAACUCCUAUGGCUCCUGCCGGUUGUCAUACUCAUCGACAUGCAAGUCGUGAUUCCUAUUACAAGAACAUGAUCAAUCUCAUACAUCACAUAUAUCAUUCAUCACAUCCUUUUUGGCCAUAUCACAUCACAUAGCAUACCCUGCAAAAACAAGUUAGACGUCCUCUAAUUGUUGUUUGCAUGUUUUACGUGGCUGCUAUGGGUUUCUAGCAAGAACGUUUCUUACCUACGCAUGAACAACAACGUGAUAUGCCAAUUGCUAUUUACCCUUCAUAAGGACCCUUUUCAUCGAAUCCGAUCCGACUAAAGUGGGAGAGACAGACACCCGCCAGCCACCUUAUGCAACUAGUGCAUGUUUGUCGGUGGAACCGGUCUCACGUAAGCGUACGUGUAAGGUUGGUCCGGGCCGCUUCAUCCCACGAUGCCGCCGAAUCAAGAUAAGACUAGUAACGGCAAGCAUAUUGAACAAUAUCAACGCCCACAACUACUUUGUGUUCUACUCGUGCAAAGAAUCUACGCAAUAGACCUAGCUCAUGAUGCCACUGUUGGGGAACGUAGCAGAAAUUCAAAAUUUUCCUACGUGUCACCAAGAUCUAUCUAUGGAGAUACUAGCAACGAGGGAAGGAGAGUGCAUCUACAUACCCUUGUAGAUCGCUAAGCGGAAGCGUUCAAGUGAACGGGGUUGAUGGAGUCGUACUCGUCGUGAUUCAGAUCACCGAUGAUCCUAGUGCCGAACGGACGGCACCUCCGCGUUCAACACACGUACAGCUCGACGAUGUCUCCCACGCCUUGAUCCAGCAAGGAGAGAGGGAGAGGUUGAGGAAGACUCCAUCCAGCAGCAGCACAACGGCGUGGUGGUGAUGGAGGAGCGUGGCAAUCCUGCAGGGCUUCGCCAAGCACCUACGGGAGAGGAGGAGGUGUCACGGGAGGGAGGGAGGCGCCAAGGGCUCAGGUAUAGAUGCCCUCCCUCCCCUCCACUAUAUAUAGGGGCAAGGGAGAGGGGGAGGCGCAUCCUUGCCCCUUCCUCCAAGGAAGGGGUGCGGCUAAGAGGGGGGGAGGAGUCCAUCCUCCCCAAGGCACCUCGGAGGUGCCUUCCCCCUUUAGGACUCUCCCCUUUUUCCUAUAUCUUGGCGCAUGGGCCUCUAGGGGCUGGUGCCCUUGGCCCAUGUAGGCCAAGGCGCACCCCCCUACAGCCCAUGUGGCCCCCCGGGGCAGGUGGCCCCACCCGGUGGGCCCCCGGGACCCUUCCGGUGGUCCCGGUACAAUACCGAUGACCCCGAAACUUGUCCCGAUGGCCGAAACAGGACUUCCUAUAUAUAAAUCUUUACCUCCGGACCAUUCCGGAACUCCUCGUGACGUCCGGGAUCUCAUCCGGGACUCCGAACAACAUUCGGUAACCACAUACAAACUUCCUUUAUAACCCUAGCGUCAUCGAACCUUAAGUGUGUAGACCCUACGGGUUCGGGAGACAUGUAGUCAUGACCGAGAUGUUCUCCGGUCAAUAACCAACAGCGGGAUCUGGAUACCCAUGUUGGCUCGCACAUGUUCCACGAUGAUCUCAUCGGAUGAACCACGAUGUCAAGGACUCAAUCAAUCCCGUAUACAAUUCCCUUUGUCUAGCGGUAUGGUACUUGCCCGAGAUUCGAUCGUCGGUAUACCGAUACCUUGUUCAAUCUCGUUACCGGCAAGCCUCUUUACUCGUUCCGUAACACAUCAUCCCGUGAUCAACCCCUUGGUCACAUUGUGCACAUUAUGAUGAUGUCCUACCGAGUGGGCCCAGAGAUACCUCUCCGUUUACACGGAGUGACAAAAUCCCAAUCUCGAUUCGUGCCAACCCAACAGACACUUUCAGAGAUACCCGUAGUGUACCUUUAUAGCCACCCAGUUACGUUGUGACGUUUGGCACACCCAAAGCACUCCUACGGUAUCCGGGAGUUGCACAAUCUCAUGGUCUAAGGAAAUGAUACUUGACAUUAGAAAAGCUUUAGCAUACGAACUACAUGAUCUUGUGCUAGGCUUAGNNNNNNNNNNUGAUCAACCCCUUGGUCACAUUGUGCACAUUAUGAUGAUGUCCUACCGAGUGGGCCCAGAGAUACCUCUCCGUUUACACGGAGUGACAAAAUCCCAAUCUCGAUUCGUGCCAACCCAACAGACAUUUUCAGAGAUACCCGUAGUGUACCUUUAUAGCCACCCAGUUACGUUGUGACGUUUGGCACACCCAAAGCACUCCUACGGUAUCCGGGAGUUGCACAAUCUCAUGGUCUAAGGAAAUGAUACUUGACAUUAGAAAAGCUUUAGCAUACGAACUACAUGAUCUUGUGCUAGGCUUAGGAUUGGGUCUUGUCCAUCACAUCAUUCUCCUAAUGAUGUGAUCCCGUUAUCAACGACAUCCAAUGUCCAUGGUCAGGAAACCGUAACCAUCUAUUGAUUAACGAGCUAGUCAACUAGAGGCUUACUAGGGACAUGGUGUUGUCUAUGUAUCCACACAUGUAUCUGAGUUUCCUAUCAAUACAAUUCUAGCAUGGAUAAUAAACGAUUAUCAUGAACAAGGAAAUAUAAUAAUAAUCAAUUUAUUAUUGCCUCUAGGGCAUAUUUCCAACAAGAAACGGGGAACAAACUGAUGAAAGAAUGAUCAUACCGAGGGAAUUCACUCAGAACUAACAAGAAUGAUAACGUGCUUUGACUGGAGCGGUUUAAAAACUGCUGGAAGGCUCUAGGGGAAUAAAGAUGGAAUGCCUUCAAAUUUCUAGGUCCGUAUGAUUUGAAAUACUUGCACACAAACCGCGCGAAAGCGUUCCUGGAAAUCUCAGCCCAAAAAAGGACGUUUAGUAAUUCUAAAAGGGACUACAGAAUGAAAAACAAUAGUUUUGGCAGUUAAAGUUUGAGAUUCGAUGGUGCCGUAGAUCCGUUUGGUCAUCAGGUGUAACGAGCCACACCCAUGUCUAGCUAGAGUAGUGUGCUAGGCUCAGGCUAGAGAAGAAACGGGGAACAAACUGAUGAAAGAAUGAUCAUACCGAGGGAAUUCACUCAGAACUAACAAGAAUGAUAACGUGCUCCGACUGGAGCGGUUUAGGAACUGCUGGAAGGCUCUAGGGGAAGAAAGAAGGAAUGACUUCUAAUUUUUAGGUCCGUAUGAUUUGAAAUACGUGCACACAAACCGCGCGAAAGCGUUCCUGGAAAUCUCAGCCCAAAAAAGGACGUUUAGUAUUCUAAAAGGGACUACAGAAUGAAAAACAAUAGUUUUGGCAGUUAAAGUUUGAGAUUCGACGGUGCCGUAGAUCCGUUUGGUCAUCAGGUGUUACGAGCCACACCCAUGUCUAGCUAGAAUAGUGUGCNNNNNNNNNNNNNNNNNNNNNNNNNCGUAUGAUUUGAAAUACGUGCACACAAACCGCGCGAAAGCGUUCCUGGAAAUCUCAGCCCAAAAAAGGACGUUUAGUAUUCUAAAAGGGACUACAGAAUGAAAAACAAUAGUUUUGGCAGUUAAAGUUUGAGAUUCGACGGUGCUGUAGAUCCGUUUGGUCAUCAGGUGUUACGAGCCACACCCAUGUCUAGCUAGAAUAGUGUGCUAGGCUCAGGCUAGAGAAGAAAAGGGGAACAAACUAAUGAAAGAAUGAUCAAUACGAGGGAAUUCACUCAGAACUAACAAUAAUGAUAACGUGCUCCGACUGGAGCGGUUUAGGAACUGCUGGAAGGCUCUAGGCGAAUAAAGAUGGAAUGACUUCUAAUUUUUACGUCCGUAUGAUUUGAAAUACUUGCACACAAACCACGCAAAAGCGUUCCUGGAAAUCUCGGCCUAAAAAGGACGUUUAGUAAUUCUAAAAGGGACUACAGGAUGAAAAAUAAUAGUUUGGGCAGUUAAAAUUUGAGAUUCGACGGUGCCGUAGAUCCGUUUGGUCAUCAGGUGUUACGAGCCACACCCAUGUCUAGCUAGAAUAGUGUGUUAGGCUCAGGCUAGAGAAGAAACGAGGAACAAACUGAUGAAAGAAUGAUCAUACCAAGGGAAUUCACUCAGAACUAACAAGAAUGAUAACGUGCUCCGACUGGAGCAGUUUAGAAACUGCUGGAAGGCUCUAGGGGAAUAAAGAUGGAAUGACUUCUGAUUUUUAGGUCCGUAUGAUUUGAAAUACGUGCACACAAACCCCGCGAAAGCGUUCCUGGAAAUCUCAGCCCAAAAAAGGACGUUUAGUAAUUCUAAAAGGGACUACAACAUGAAAAACAAUAGUUUUGGCAGUUAAAGUUUGAGAUUUCAUGGUGCCGUAGAUCUGUUUGGUCAUCAGGUGUUACGAGCCACACCCAUGUCUAGCUAGAAUAGUGUGUUAGGCUCAGGCUAGAAAAGAAACGGGAAACAAAGUGAUGAAAGAAUGACCAUACCGAGGGAAUUCACUCAGAACUAACAAGAAUGAUAACAUGCUCCGACUUGAGCGGUUUAGGAACUGCUGGAAGGCUCUAGGGGAAUAAAGAUGGAAUGACUUCUAAUGUUUAGGUCCGUAUGAUUUGAAAUACUUGCACAUAAACCGCACAAAAGCGUUCCUGGAAAUCUCAGCCCAAAAAAGGACGUUUAGUAAUUCUAAAAGGGACUACAGGAUGAAAAACAAUAGUUUUGGCAGUUAAAGUUUGAGAUUCGACGGUGCCGUAGAUCCGUUUGGUCAUCAGGUGUUACGAGCCACACCCAUGUCUAGCUAGAAUAGUGUGUUAGGCUCAGGCUAGAGAAGAAACUUGGAACAAACUGAUGAAAGAAUGAUCAAACCAACGGAAUUCACUCAGAACUAACAAUAAUGAUAACGUGCUCCGACUGGAGCAGUUUAGGAACUGCUGGAAGGCUCUAGGGGAAUAAAGAUGGAAUGACUUCUAAUUUUUAGGUCCGUAUGAUUUGAAAUACUUGCACGCAAACCGCGCGAAAGCGUUCCUGGAAAUAUCAGCCCAAAAAAGGACGUUUAGUAAUUCUAAAAGGGACUACAGGAUGAAAACAAUAGUUUUGGCAGUUAAAGUUUGAGAUUCAACAGUGCCGUAGAUCCGUUUGGUCAUCAGGUGUUAUGAGCCAUACCCAUGUCUAGCUAGAGUAGUGUGCUAGGCUCAGGCUAGAGAAGAAACAGGGAACAAACUGAUGAAAGAAUGAUCAUACCGAGGGAAUUCACUCAGAACUAACAAGAAUGAUAACGUGCUCCGACUGGAGCGGUUUAGGAACUGCUGGAAGGCUCUAGGGGAAUAAAGAUGGAGUGACUUCUAAAUUUUUAGGUCCGUAUGAUUUAAAAUACUUGCACACAAACCGCACGAAAGCGUUCCUUGAAAUCUCAGCCCAAAAAAGGACGUUUAGUAAGUCUAAAAGGGACUAUAGGAUGAAAAACAAUAGUUUUGGCAGUUAAAGUUUGAGAUUCGAUGGUGCCGUAGAUCUGUUUGGUCAUCAGGUGUUACGAGCCACACCCAUGUCUAGUUGGAAUAGUGUGCUAGGCUCAGACUAGAGAAGAAACAGGGAACAAACUGAUGAAAGAAUGAUCAAACCGAGGAAAUUCACUCAGAACUAACAAUAAUGAUAACAUGCUCCGACUGGAGCGGUUUAGGAACUGCUGGAAGGCUCUAGGGGAAUAAAGAUGGAAUGACUUCUAAAUUUUUAGGUCCGUAUGAUUUGAAAUAGUUGCACACAAACUGCGCGAAAGCGUUCCUGGAAAUCUCAGCCCAAAAAAGGACGUUUAGUAAUUCUAAAAGGGACUAUAGGAUGAAAAACAAUAGUUUUGGCAGUUAAAGUUUGAGAUUCGACGGUGCCGUAGAUCCGUUUGGUCAUCACGUGUUACAAGCCACACCCAUGUCUAGCUAGAGUAGUGUGCUAGGCUCAGACUAUAGAAGAAACGGGGACCAAACUGAUGAAAGAAUGAUCAAACCGAGGAAAUUCACUCAGAACUAACAAUAAUGAUAACAUGCUCCGACUGGAGCGGUUUAGGAACUACUGGAAGGCUCUAGGGGAAUAAAGAUGGAAUGACUUCUAAAUUUUUAGGUCCGUAUGAUUUUAAAUAGUUGCACACAAACUGCGCGAAAGCGUUCCUGGAAAUCUCAGCCCAAAAAAGGACGUUUAGUAAUUCUAAAAGGGACUACAGGAUGAAAAACAAUAGUUUGGGCAGUUAAAAUUUGAGAUUCGACGGUGCCGUAGAUCCGUUUGGUCAUCAGGUGUUACGAGCCACACCCAUGUCUAGCUAGAGUAGUGUGCUAGGCUCAGGCUAGAGAAGAAACAGGGAACAAACUGAUGAAAGAAUGAUCAUACCGAGGGAAUUCACUCAGAACUAACAAGAAUGAUAACGUGCUCUGACUGGAGCGGUUUAAGAACUGUUGGAAGGCUCUAGGGGAAUAAAGAUGGAAUCACUUCAAAUUUUUACGUCCGUGUGAUUUGAAAUACUUGCACACAAACCGCACGAAAGCGUUCCUGGAAAUCUCAGCCCAAAAAAGGACGUUUAGUAAGUCUAAAAGGGACUACACGAUGAAAAACAAUAGUUUUGGCAGUUAAAGUUUGAGAUUCGACAGUGCCGUAGAUCCGUUUGGUCAUCAGGUGUAACGAGCCACACCCAUGUCUAGAUAGAGUAGUGUGCUAGGCUCAAACUAGAGAAGAAACGGGGAACAAACUGAUGAAAGAAUGAUCAUACCGAGGGAAUUCACUCAGAAAUAACAAGAAUGAUAACGUGCUCUGACUGGAGCGGUUUAGGAACUGCUGGAAGGCUCUAGGGGAAUAAAGAAGGAAUGACUUCUAAUUUUUAGGUCCGUAUGAUUUGAAAUACGUGCACACAAACCCCGAGAAAGCGUUCCUGGAAAUCUCGACCCAAAAAAGGACGUUUAGUAAUUCUAAAAGGGACUACGGGAUGAAAAACAAUAGUUUUGGCAGUUAAAGUUUGAGAUUCGAUAAUGCCGUAGAUCCAUUUGGUCAUCAGGUGUAACGAGCCACACCCAUGUCUAGCUAGAGUAGUGUGCUAGGCUCAGACUAGAGAAGAAACAGGGAACAAACUGAUGAAAGAAUGAUCAUAUCGAGGGAAUUCACUCAGAACUAACAAGAAUGAUAACAUGCUCCGACUUGAGCGGUUUAGGAACUGCUGGAAGGCUCUAGGGGAAUAAAGAUGGAAUGACUUCUAAUUUUUAGGUCCGUAUGAUUUGAAAUACUUACACACAAACCACGCGAAAGCGUUCCUGGAAAUCUCAGCCCAAAAAAGGACGUUUAGUAAUUCUAAAAGGGACUACAUGAUGAAAAACAAUAGUUUUCGCAGUUAAAGUUUGAGAUUCGACGGUGCCGUAGAUCCGUUUGGUCAUCAAGUGUUACGAGCCACACCCAUGUCUAGCUAGAAUAGUGUGUUAGGCUCAGCCUAGAGAAGAAACGGGGAACAAACUGAUGAAAGAAUGAUCAUACCGAGGGAAUUCACUCAGAACUUACAAGAAUGAUAACGUGCUCCGACUUGAGCGGUUUAAGAACUGUUGGAAGGCUCUAGGGGAAUAAAGAUGGAAUCACUUCAAAUUUUUACGUCCGUGUGAUUUGAAAUACUUGCACACAAACCCCGAGAAAGCGUUCCUGGAAAUCUCGGCCGAAAAAAGGAUGUUUAAUAAUUCUAAAAGGGACUACAGGAUGAAAAACAAUAGCUUUGGCAGUUAAAGUUUGUGAUUCGAUGGUGCCGUAGAUCUGUUUGGUCAUCAGGUGUUAUGAGCCACACCCAUGUCUAGCUAGAAUAGUGUGUUAGGCUCAGGCUAGAGCAGAAACUAGGAACAAACUUAUGAAAGAAUGAUCAUACCGAGGGAAUUCACUCAGAACUAACAAGAAUGAUAACGUGCUCCGACUGGAGCGGUUUAGGAACUGCUGGAAGGCUCUAGGGGAAUAAAGAUGGAAUGACUUCUAAUUUUUAGGUCCGUAUGAUUUGAAAUACAUGCACACAAACCCCAAGAAAGCGUUCCUAGAAAUCUCAGCCCAAAAAGGACGUUUAGUAAUUCUAAAAGGGACUACAGGAUGAAAAACAAUAGGUUUGGCAGUUAAAGUUUGAGAUUCGAUAAUGCCGUAGAUCCGUUUGGUCAUCAGGUGUAACGAGCCACACCCAUGUCUAGCUACAUUAGUGUGCUAGGCUCAGACUAGAGAAGAAACGGGGAACAAACUGAUGAAAGAAUGAUCAUACCGAGGGAAUUCACUCAGAACUAACAAGAACGAUAACAUGCUCCGACUGCAGCGGUUUAGGAACUGCUGGAAGGCUCUAGGGGAAUAAAGAAGGAAUGACUUCUAAUUUUUAGGUCCGUAUGAUUUGAAAUACUUGCACACAAACCGCGCGAAAGCAUUCCUGGAAAUCUCAGCCCAAAAAAGGACGUUUAGUAAUUCUAAAAGGGACUACAGGAUGAAAAACAAUAAUUUUGGCAGUUAAAGUUUGAGAUUCGACGGUGCCGUAGAUCCGUUUGGUCAUCAGGUGUUACGGGCCAUACCCAUGUCUAGCUAGAAUAGUGUGUUAGGCUCAGGUUAGAGAAGAAACGGGGAACAAAGUGAUGAAAGAAUGAUCAUACCGAGGGAAUUCACUCAGAACUAACAAGAAUGAUAACGUGCUCCGACUGGAGCGGUUUAGGAAUUGCUGGAAGGCUCUAGGGGAAUAAAGAUGGAAUGACUUCUAUAUUUUACGUCCGUAUGAUUUGAAAUACUUGCACACAAACCACGCAAAAGCACUCCUGGAAAUAUCAGCCUAAAAAGGAUGUUUAGUAAUUCUAAAAGGGACUACAGGAUGAAAAAUAAUAGUUUUGGCAGUUAAAAUUUGAGAUUCAACGGUGCCGUAAAUCCGUUUGGUCAUCAGGUGUUACGAGCCACACCCAUGUCUAGCUAGAAUAGUGUGUUAGGCUCAGGUUAGAGAAGAAACGGGGAACAAACUGAUGAAAGAAUGAUCAUACAAGGGGAAUUCACUCAGAACUAUCAAGAAUGAUAACGUGCUCCGACUGGAGCAGUUUAGGAACUGCCGGAAGGCUCUAGGGGAAUAAAGAUGGAAUGACUUCUAAUUUUUAUGUCCGUAUGAUUUGAAAUACUUGCACACAAACCACGCAAAAGCGUUCCUGGAAAUCUCAGCCUAAAAAGGACGUUUAGUAAUUCUAAAAGGGACUACAGGAUGAAAAACAAUAGUUUGGGCAGUUAAAAUUCGAGAUUCGACGGUGCCGUAGAUCCGUUUGGUCAUCAGGUGUUACGAGCCACACCCAUGUCUAGCUAGAAUAGUGUGUUAGGCUCAGGCUAGAGAAGAAACGGGGAACAAACUGAUGAAAGAAUGAUCAUAUCGAGGGAAUUCACUCAGAACUAACAAGAAUGAUAACGUGCUCCGACUGGAGCGGUUUAGUAACUGCUGGAAGGCUCUAGGGGAAUAAAGAUGGAAUGACUUCUAAUUAUUAGGUCCGUAAGAUUUGAAUUACAUGCACACAAACCCCGAGAAAGCGUUCCUGGAAAUCUCGGUCGAAAAAAGGAUGUUUAGUAAUUCUAAAAGGGACUACAGGAUGAAAAACAAUAGUUUUGGCAGUUAAAGUUUGUGAUUCGAUGGUGCCGUAGAUCUGUUUGGUCAUCAGGUGUUACGAGCCACACCCAUGUCUAGCUAGAAUAGUGUGUUAGGCUCAGGCUAGAGCAGAAACGGGGAACAAACUUAUGAAAGAAUGAUCAUGCCGAGGGAAUUCACUCAGAACUAACAAGAAUGAUAACGUGCUCCGACUGGAGCGGUUUAGGAACUGCUGGAAGGCUCUAGGGGAAUAAAGAUGGAAUGACAUCAAAUUUUUAGGUCCGUAUGAUUUGAAAUACUUGCACACAAACCGCAAGAAAGCGUUCUUGGAAAUCUCCGCCCAAAAAAGGACGUUUAGUAAUUCUAAAAGGGUCUACAGGAUGAAAAACAAUAGUUCUGGCAGUUAAAGUUUGAGAUUCGAUAAUGUCGUAGAUCCGUUUGGUCAUCAGGCGUAACGAGCCACACCCAUUUCUAGCUAGAGUAGUGUGCUAGGCUCAGACUAGAGAAGAAACGGGGAACAACCUGAUGAAAGAAUGAUCAUACCGAGGGAAUUCACUCAGAACUAACAAGAAUGAUAACGUGCUCCGACUGGAGCGGUUUAGGAACUGCUGGAAGGCUCUACGGGAAUAAAGAAGGAAUGACUUCUAAUUUUUAGGUCCGUAUGAUUUGAAAUACGUGCACACAAACCCCGAGAAAGCGUUCCUGGAAAUCUCGGCCCAAAAAAGGACGUUUAGUAUUCUAAAAGCGACUACAGAAUGAAAAACAAUAGUUUUGGUAGUUAAAGUUUGAGAUUUAACGGUGCCGUAGAUCUGUUUGGUCAUCAGGUGUUACGAGCCACACCCAUGUCUAGCUAGAAUAGUGUGUUAGGCUCAGGCUAGAUAAGAAACAGGGAACAAAGUGAUGAAAGAAUGAUCAUACCAAGGGAAUUCACUCAGAACUAACAAGAACGAUAACAUGCUCCGACUGGAGUGGUUUAGGAACUGCUGGAAGGCUCUAGGGGAAUAAAGAUGGAAUGACUUCUAAUUUUUAGGUCUGUAUGAUUUGAAAUACUUGCACACAAACCGCACGAAAGCGUUCCUGGAAAUCUCAUCCCAAAAAAGGACGUUUAGUAAUUCUAAAAGGGACUACAGGAUGAAAAACAAUAGUUUUGGCAGUUAAAGUUUGAGAUUCGAUAAUGCUGUAGAUCCGUUUGGUCAUCAGGUGUAACGAGCCACACCCAUGUCUAGCUAGAGUAGUGUGCUAGGCUCAGACUAGAGAAGAAACGGGGAACAAACUGAUGAAAGAAUGAUCAUACCGAGGGAAUUCACUCAGAACUAACAAUAAUGAUAACGUGCUCCGACUGGAGCGGUUUAGGAACUGCUGGAAGGCUCUAGGGGAAUAAAGAUGGAAUGAGUUCUAAUUUUUAGGUCUGUAUGAUUUGAAAUACUUGCACACAAACCGCGUGAAAGCAUUCCUGGAAAUUUCAGCCCAAAAAAGGACGUUUAGUAAUUUUAAAAGGGACUACACGAUGAAAAACAAUAGUUUUGGCAGUUAAAGUUUGAGAUUCGACGGUGCCGUAGAUCCGUUUGGUCAUCAGGUGUUACGAGCCACACCCAUGUCUAGCUAGAAUAGUAUGUUAGGCUCGGGUAAGAGAAGAAACGGGGAACAAACUGAUGAAAGAAUGAUCAUACCAAGGGAAUUCACUCAGAACUAACAAGAAUGAUAACGUGCUCCGACUGGAGCGGUUUAGGAACUGCUGGAAGGCUCUAGGGGAAUAAAGAUGGAAUGACUUCUAAUUUUUACGUUCGUAUGAUUUGAAAUACUUGCACACAAACCACGCAAAAGCGUUCCUGGAAAUCUCAUCCUAAAAAAGGACGUUUAGUAAUUCUAAAAGGGACUACAGGAUGAAAAAUAAUAGUUUGGGCAGUUAAAAUUUGAGAUUCGACGGUGCCGUAGAUCCGUUUGGUCAUCAGGUGUUACGAGCCACACCCAUGUCUAGCUAGAAUAGUGUGUUAGGCUCAGGCUAGAGAAGAAACGGGGAACAAACUGAUGAAAGAAUGAUCAUAUCGAGGGAAUUCACUCAGAACUAACAAGAAUGAUAACGUGCUCCGACUGGAGCAGUUUAGAAACUGCUGGAAGGCUCUAGGGGAAUAAAGAUGGAAUGACUUCUAAUUUUUAGGUCUGUAUGAUUUGAAAUACGUGCACACGAACCCCGAGAAAGCGUUCCUGGAAAUCUCGGCCCAAAAAAGGACGUUUAGUAAUUCUAAAAGGGACUACAGGAUGAAAAACAAUAGUUUUGGCAGUUAAAGUUUGAGAUUCGACGGUGCCGUAGAUCCGUUUGUUCAUCAGGUGUUACGAGCCACACCCAUGUCUAGCUAGAAUAGUGUGUUAGGCUCAGGCUAGAGAAGAAACGGGGAACAAACUGAUGAAAGAAUGAUCAUACCGAGGGAAUUCACUCAGAACUAACAAGAAUGAUAACGUGCUCCGACUGGAGCGGUUUAGGAACUGCUAGAAGGCUCUAGGGGAAUAAAGAAGGAAUGACUUCUAAUUUUUAGGUCCGUAUGAUUUGAAAUACGUGCACACAAACCCCGAGAAAGCGUUCCUGGAAAUCUUGGCCCAAAAAAGGACGUUUAGUAUUCUAAAAGCGACUACAGAAUGAAAAACAAUAGUUUUGCUAGUUAAAGUUUGAGAUUUGAUGGUGCCGUAGAUCUGUUUGGUCAUCAG